UAAAAUUGAGAAUGGAAAUGGGGAAUGUGUCAAAGAGACAACAACCCGACCAUAGAAAAAACAACAGCAGAAGGUCACUAACAGGUCUUCAAUGUAGCGAGACAUUCCCACGCCCGGAGGCGUCCUUCAGCUGGCCCCUAAACAAAUAUAUACUAGUUCAGUGAUAAUGAACGCCAUACUAAUUUCCGAAUUGUACACAAGAAACUAAAAUUAAAAAAAAUACAAGACUAACAAAGGCC
rnacentral:lncRNA from 1 species